rnacentral:rRNA from 1 species
UAGGGAAUAUUAGUAAUGGGCGAAAGCCUGAACUAGCAACACCGCGUGUGCGAAGAAGGCCUUCGGGUUGUAAAGCACUUUUCGGGAGGAUGAGGAAGGACGGUACUCCCGGAAUAAGUCUCGGCUAACUACGUGCCAGCAGCCGCGGUAAAACGUAGGAGGCAAACGUUAUCCGGAUUUACUGGGCGUAAAGCGCGUGUAGGUGGUUUGGUAAGUAGGGCGUGAAAGCUCCUGGCUCAACUGGGAGAGGUCGUUCUAAACUGCCGAGCUAGAGGAUGGUAGAGGGAGGUGGAAUUCCGGGUGUAGCGGUGGAAUGCGCAGAUAUCCGGAGGAACACCAGUGGCGAAAGCGGCCUCCUGGACCACUCCUGACACUCAGACGCGAAAGCUAGGGUAGCAAACGG